AUAGCACUUAAACUAUUGAGAAUGGAGGAUCCCAGGACAACAUUUAAAAUGACAGCUAAUGUCUGUGGAAACCCUGGGCGUUUAGGAGUGGCCUAAAGCUAGAGUUCUCUUUGAUUACGGGCACCACUUUCAGAUAAAAACAUAGACCUGAAUGGCAUCAUCCAGUAUCCAAGGAAACCAUUUCUUACAGUACCCUGGAACAUAAUUCACCAUGGCCAGGAUGAAUCUGCUGUACACAGGAGUGAUCCUUCUAACCUGCCAUGUCCAUAGUUAUGUGAGAAUCUAGGAUGGAGCUGAAAGAACUGUAUCUUCCUGGAUCAUACCCAAAAGGUCUCUAAGUGCACUGAUGACAGGAAAAUCUUCAGUGGUUCCAGAGACAAGCUGCUGGAAAUCCUGCACAUUUAUUUUCUAGAAGGAAAUGAGCUGAUGAGGAAUAAUCCCUUCAGAGAUCCUCCCUUUAAAAAACCUUAAAGGACUCCAAAUUAAAGCAUAGCCAUUUCUGGGACCCUAAAGUGACUCAAAAAAAGGAAACAUCACUUACUUAAUGUUAGGUGAAUUUCAAAAGCCUUAAUAAGGGGAGAGCAAAGGUAGGGAGAAAGAUGGUGAAUAAAUUGUGAGAACCUACCAAGUAAAGAAAUAUCUUUUAAAUUCCACGCAUCAUGUUUUAUUUCACUUUGUAUUUCAAUUAAAAAAGGAAAAAUAUGCAUUUUAAAAAGAUAUAUUUUUUGCUAUUAAUAUUAGCACUUAAUGUCUGAGUACAGAUCCAUCAUUCAUUAGGUCUACAGUAGCCCACAGCCCUAAUUUAUAAAUUCAUAAUCACAAGUCAGAUCAACUCAAUUGCUCAAGGCUGUGUAUUUGCAAGUUAGAGUAUACACUGCAAAUUUCCUGUCUUUGGGCCGGUAUACUGAGCAAUGGUACUUUUUAAAAAGAAUUUGCUCAUAUCUUAGAUUUAACAGAGUUGAAAAUGUUUAACCAAUAUCACUCAUGUAAUAUAAAGUGUAAAUUUAAGCAGUGUUCUAGAAAAUUCAAGGCAAAGUAGUUUAAACCAUUUGGCUCUUCCUAGAGGUUCUGAUUUUUUUUUUUAACCUGAAAAAGUAGGUAAUUACUCGAUAGCCUUAGCUCUAAAAUAUAUCUGACAGGUUAUUUUUAUUUGUUUGGUUUUCAGAAAUCAUAUCCAUGUUUUCUACUCUCUGUAGUCUUAGCAAAAUGAAUCAAAGCCACUCUGUAUCCAAAGGUAACACUAUGGUUGUCUUUUUUUUUUUUUUUUUUUUUUUAACAUUGCAGGCUUUACCUCAAGUGCUAUGCAGUAAAUUUACAGGGAAAGAAAUAUUUUAUUAAAUUAUAACUGAGAGGAGCGGAUUUUUUUUAUAUAGCAAACAAAAAAUUCCUUCAUGAAAGGUUAUAAAACCGAUAUUAUUUACCAGAGAGACCUUUCCUGUCUCCCAGGUAAACACUUACAGUGUGUAGACUUGUGUAAAUACAUAUUUAGGAGUGGCUAAAUAUGGCGAGGUAUUUUUAAAGCCAUAUUUACAAAGCUGAAUACAUAUAUUGGCAUUUUGGAAUGUGUAAGCUGGGCAUGCUGCUCUGCUGUCUAUUCAGAAUUCUAGCAGGACGCUGCUAGAUACACCUCAGAUAUGGGGACCGAAUUUCAAAACAUUCAUCUUUAAUCAGAAUUACUAAAGACAGGUCCUUAAAUCAUUUCAAAAGUGUGAAAAUUUUCAACUAAUGGAGUUCAAGACUUUCUCACCAGUUUGACUUGAGGAAAAUUGUUUCAGAAAUGCAGGCGUCAUUCAUGGAAAUAAAAUUUCUUUUCU
rnacentral:lncRNA from 1 species